UACGUAGGGCGCAAGCGUUAUCCGGAAUUAUUGGGCGUAAAGAGCUCGUAGGCGGUUUGUCGCGUCUGCCGUGAAAGUCCGGGGCUCAACUCCGGAUCUGCGGUGGGUACGGGCAGACUAGAGUGAUGUAGGGGAGACUGGAAUUCCUGGUGUAGCGGUGAAAUGCGCAGAUAUCAGGAGGAACACCGAUGGCGAAGGCAGGUCUCUGGGCAUUAACUGACGCUGAGGAGCGAAAGCAUGGGGGAGCGAACAUGGG
rnacentral:rRNA from 1 species